rnacentral:rRNA from 1 species
GCGGACGGGUGAGUAAUGUAUGGGGAUCUGCUGAUGGCGGGGAUACUACUGAACGGUAGCUAAUACGCAUAAUGUCUUCGGACAAAGCGGGGGACUUCGGGCUCGCGCCAUCAGAUGAACCCAUAUGGAUUAGCUUGUAGGUGAGGUACGGCUCACUAGGCGAGAUCCCUAGCUGGUCUGAGAGGAUGAUCAGCCACACUGACUGAGACACGGCCCAGAACUCCUACGGGAGGCAGCAGUGGGGAAUAUUGCCAAUGGCGCAAGCCUGAUGCAGCCAUGCCGGUGUAUGAAGAAGGCCUUCGGGUUGUAAAGUACUUUCAGUCGGGAGGGAGGGUGGUAAGGUUAAUAACCUUAUCAAUUGACGUUACCGACAGAAAGAAGCACCGGUUAACUCCGUGCCAGCAGCCCGGGGUAAAUACGGGAGGGGUGCAAGGCGGUUAAUCGGAGUUACUGGGGCGUAAAAGCGCACGCAGGGGGUUGAAUUGGGGUCAAGAUGUGAAAUCCCCGGGGCUUAAACCCGGGGAAAUUGGCAUCCUGAUUACUGGUCAGCUAAGAAGUCUUGGUAAGAGGGGGGGGUAAGAAAUUCCAUGGUGGUAGGCG